UUUUUUCCUCCCUGGAGCUGGUCUUGUGGGGCAGCCCUAAAAUGUAUCUCCAAGUGACCCUGCACUCAUCACUUGCUGCCUUGGACUUAGUUUCCUCAUUCGUAGAAUGGAGACACCACACUUUCUGAAGUGCUUAUGAGACUUGCAGGAGGAUGGGUUCUUUGAAGAGUUUUAAAGAGAAUUCACAAUUACUGAAUAUUACAUAAUUUGAAGAUGAAGUUCUUGCUGCAUCCUGUGAACUGAGAAGACCAUGUGAAGACAAAGAGAAAGCAGCUGGCCAUCAGUAAGCCAAAAUUUUCUACCUGUUUCGUU
rnacentral:lncRNA from 10 species